GGGUGCUCCGAUUCAGGAAGAAUGUGGAGGCAUGGGAGAGGGUGCACAGGAGGUCUACCAGAAUGAUGCCUGGAUAAGU